rnacentral:rRNA from 1 species
CACGGGGGGAGCAAGCGUUGUUCGGAAUCACUGGGCGUAAAGGGCGUGUAGGCGGUUCGGUAAGUGGAAUGUGAAAUCCCUCGGCUCACCCGAGGACCUGCAUCCCAAACUGCCGAGCUUGAGUAUGGGAGAGGAUGAGGGAAUUCCAGGUGUAGCGGUGAAAUGCGUAGAUAUCUGGAGGAACACCGGUGGCGAAGGCGGCAUUCUGGACCGACAUUGACGCUGAGGAGCGAAAGCCAGGGGAGCAAACGGG